UAUAUGAGUAUACACUAUAUCAUAAAGACCAACGAAUCUCACGGAUCUUUUGGGUAGUCUACUUAAAGCUCCAUUACUAAAUAUGGCUAGUUGCACGUGAGAUAACUGAACCAAAAUUUGGCGUGCGAUAUUGCUUCACUGUAUUUGGCAGCACUCUAGUUUUUCUUGCCAAAUCUUGACAAACCUGCAGAGAGCAGUGUCAUCAGUCUUUUGAUGCAAGCUCAUAGGAAGGAAUCAUCCAGUGGUCACAAGGAAUGCAUGAGGUAUGGUCCGGUGCUGCCACAAACGGUAGAACUUGAUUCUGGAGAAUUGGAAAAGGUUUUAGAUCCUAUGCAUGAGGUGCACCGAAGAAAAGGCUGAAGCCAAAGAAGCAUAAAAGAUUGAACACAAAAUACUGCUAUUGCAGGGUGGAGGGUCACAAUCGGCAUAAAUGCGCCAAGUGGAUAGAGGACAACAAGCUGACAGAACCUUAUUAACUACAGCUCUCUUAACAUAUGUGAAGUAAUCAUCCAGGAUUAUACAAAAAUGCCUAAUACAUAUGUGAAGGAAUGCAUGAGGUAUGGUCCAGUGCUGCGACAAGCUUUGUCUUAGUUCCCUGUUGGCUGUAUCCAUUGUCAGCUGAAGCAAACGGCUCUGGGCGAAUGGCUGUGUUGGUGCUACAACGGCGGGCUACUCUGUUGCUAUCUUGGAGUACCUGACUGCUGAAGUUCUGGAGCUGGCUGGGAACGCAAGCAAGGAUCUGAAGGUGAAGCGUAUCACCCAUCACCAUCUUCAGCUGGCCAUCCAUGGAGAUG